rnacentral:rRNA from 1 species
AUGACCAACAGCUCGAGCCUUGUGUUGUCUCAAACCAAUGGCCGCCACAUACUUUGGAUGGCAAACACAAUUACUGGCAGCAACUCUUCAGCCAAACUUCUCAACAGUGGCAAUCUUGUAGUCCUAUCAUCAGACGGUGCCAUGUUAUGGCAGAGCUUCGAAAACCCAAGCGACGUCGUCCUUGCUGGUAUGCCUAUGCGGGACACCCACAAGACACACCCACCAUGGCGGAUCAUCUCUUGGAAGGGCCCUGAUGAUCCGUCAAAAGGCAGGUUCUCUGCUGGGAAAGACCUUGCCACUCCCCUACAGUACUUCGUCUGGGAUGGGUCAGUGCCAUACUGGCAUGCUCCAGUGUGGAACAACUAUGUAUACUCCAACAUGGAACUGCAGACCGUUAGUUCGCUCAUGUAUUUGACAAUUAACAAGGGCACGGACGAUGAGACCUAUUCAACAUUUGGACUAUCAGAUGGCUCCUCCAGGAUAUUUUACAAGGUUGACUACUCCGGAAAGACGAUGCUGUUGAGAUGGAAUACCAGCUUGACAGAUUGGACCGCCCUUCAACAGUUGUCAGCUUACGAGUGCAAUCUCGAUGGAUAUUGUGGUGCAUACGGCUACUGCGACAACACAGAGGCAACUCCCACAUGCAAGUGCCUUGAUGAGUUUGUCCCUAGUAACAAAACAGAGUGGGUUAGAGGCAGUUUUUUUCAUGGUUGCCGGCGAAAGGAGGAACUGCAAUGUGGUGGAGAGGACCGUUUCUUGACCUUGCCAGCAAUGAAGGUGCCAGACAAAUUCAUACGCCUGUGGAAUAAAAGCUAUGAUGACUGUGCAGUGGAGUGCAGCAAAAAUUGCUCAUGUGUAGCGUAUGCUUAUGCUAAUCUAAGCACCAGCAACAUUGAUGGGGAUGCAACAAGGUGCCUGCUGUGGACCAGGGAGCUGAUUGACGUGGAGAAGGGUGGCGCCGUCGGCAAUGAGAACCUGUAUCUCCGGCUUACUGCCUUGUCAAGCAAAGGGCGAAAGAGCAUCGUAAUAAAAGUUAUACCAGCAAUGUCAGCAAGUGUGUUGCUGAUACUUCUAUUGGCAUGCCUUGUAUGGUUCCACAAGUUUAAAGGCAAACAUGACAAAAAAGAAAGACUGAAGAGACCGAUGAUGGGGGAUUUGCGCGUUAGUGAUGGACUUGGAGAGGAAACUCAUGAACUUCCAUUUAUUAGCUUUGAGGAAAUAGUCGAUGCAACAAACAACUUCUCUAUGUACAAUUUACUCGGAGAAGGUGGCUUUGGCAAGUUUACAAGGCUGAGUAGAGGUGCUAGGCAGGGGGUAAUAGAAUUCAGGAAUGAAGUAGUUGUGAUUGCUAAACUGCAACACAAAAACCUUGUAAGGCUUCUCUGUUAUUGUGUGCAGGGUGAUGAAAAGCUACUUAUUUAUGAGUAUCUACCAAACAAAAGCCUGGACACCUUCCUUUUCAAUUCUGAAAAGAAGCCAAUGCUUCAUUGGCCGACACGAUUCAAUAUAAUAAAAGGAGUGGCUAGAGGGCUACUCUAUCUCCAUCAAGAUUCAAGACUGAUGAUAAUCCAUAGGGAACUCAAAACAAGCAACAUUUUGCUAGAUGGAGACAUGAAUCCCAAGAUAUUUGAUUUUGGAAUGGCAAGAAUCUUUGGCGGAGAUGAGCAACAAGCAAACACUAACCGAGUUGUCGGAACAUACGGUUAUAUGUCAACGGAAUAUGCAAUGGAAGGCCUCUUUUCUGUUAAGUCUGAUGUCUAUAGCUUCGGGGUAUUGCUCAUGGAAACUGUAAGUGGUCUAAGGAUAAGCUCAACGCAGAACAUCAAGGAGUUCCCCAACCUUAUAAUAUAUACAUGGAGUCUAUGGAGGGAAGGGCUAGCAAAAGAUCUGGUGGAUCCAUCUGUUUCAGAGAGCUGCUCGAAUGAAGAAGUUUUGUGUUGCAUCCAUGUUGGGCUCUUGUGUGUUCAAGAUGACCCGGAUGCCAGACCACUCAUGUCAACUGUUGUAUCAACCUUGGAGAGUAGAAGCACACCACUUGCAACGCCUGAUAAGCCACUAUAUUUUUCUCAGAGGAAUAAGGUAGCAAAGAGAGCAGAAUACGGUCAGAACUCUGUGGAUACGGAGACUCUUACAGUAAUAGAGGGGCAGUAG